rnacentral:rRNA from 1 species
UACAGAGGGUGCAAGCGUUAAUCGGAUUUACUGGGCGUAAAGCGUGCGUAGGCGGUUCAGUGUGUCGGUUGUGAAAUCCCCGGGCUUAACCUGGGAACUGCAUCCGAAACUGCUGGGCUAGAGUGUGGUAGAGGGCGGUGGAAUUCCAGGUGUAGCGGUGAAAUGCGUAGAUAUCUGGAGGAACACCGAUGGCGAAGGCAGCCGCCUGGGCCACAACUGACGCUGAGGAGCGAAAGCCAGGGGAGCAAACGGG